UCAUUUCAUUAGCAUUUGUCCUAAAAUCCUAAGAUUUCUUCUCUCUCCCUGCUUUAGUCGCCCCAGAGAAGGAGAUCAAGCUCAAGGAAGAGAAGAAUCGCCAGUUGGAAAAGAAGAAAAAGUCAUGUGCCCACCUUCAGGGGGGAGAAGUCUCAUCUUUCAAUGAGGAUUGAAGAGAUUAUUAAUAUAUUUAAGUGCCAGAGGUGCAUGUGAGAAAACCAGGCUGCCUUGUCUGCUCAACAGAUGGCAGGGCCGAGUGGUUGCACAGCUCAGGAGGAGGCACUGGCCAUCUUUUUGCAAAAUGCAGCAUCCCUGGGCAGAAAGCCUGCAUUCGCGAUGGUGACGAUAAUUUCAUGGAUGGGUAUUCAUUUGAUGCUGUUUAUUGUCUCCCCUGAACCGGCUGGAAUGUGAACUCCAUGAGGAAUUGUAUGUCUGCUUUCAUGGCUGUAUCCUCAGUGCUUGGAGCAGAGUAGGCAGCAGCUGACAGAAGGCACUUGUGGUAGGCAGAACAAGGGCCCCCAGAGUUGUCCAAGUGCUGAUCUCUGAAACUGACUAUGUUACCUUACCUGGUCUUCUGCUUCUUGGGCUUUGCUGAUGUGAUUAAAUUAAGGGUUUUGAGAUGGGGAAAUCUUCCUGGAUUAUCUGGGUCAAUAUAAUCAUGAGGGACCAUAAAGGUGAGGAAGCAGGAGGGCAGAGUUGAAGAGGAUGCGAUGAUGGAAGCAGAGGUGGGAAUGAUGCAAUUGCUGGAAGGGUCCAUGAGCCAAGGAAUGUGGACACCUCCCAAAGCUGAGAUAGGCAAGGAAAUGGUUUUUCCUUUGGAGGCUCCAGAAGGACUACUAACCUGGCACCCUAUUUUAGACUUCUGACCUCCAGAACUAUAAGAAAAUAAAUUUGUGUUGCUUUAAGCCACUGAGUUUGUGGUAAUUUGUACACCAGCAAUAGGAAACUAAUAAGCACUCAAAAACAUCUGCUGAAGAAAUGCAGGAACGGGCAGGGCUUCCAUUUAUUUGUGAAAUGGGAGGCUUGGACUUAGCUAAU
rnacentral:lncRNA from 1 species